rnacentral:lncRNA from 1 species
UUGAACAGUUUAAAUUAUAUAGACGAUGCUAGAGAGAUUAUUUACUUAAACAUAUUUUGUAAACCACACGAUGAUGGUGACUAUUGUUACAUUAAUCAUCAUCCGCCGCGUGAAGGAUGGAUCUGCACUUGAUCAAUUCCCGGAUAGCUUAAGCGUUUUCGAGUAAAGAUUGGCUAACAUUGUCUAGUACUGUUGCCACUGGCCAGCCCCCUCAUGGGUACCCUUCUUCCUUUCUUGCAACGCAAUAACGUCCUACUAGAGUUUGUCUGCUCCCUUGUUCCUUUGUGGACACUGAUCCGUCGGUAGGUAAAUAAUGCAACAAACAAUGACAUGAACGGCAAGUCAUGGUACCAAUAAUUAUGCAUGGAACCAACAGAGGCACUGCCUUGCAAUGUUGGUGACCGCAGAUAGCAGCAGGGAGCAACAAUAUUUGGGUUGUCUUUCAGAGUACUUCUGAAUGCACAGGGAUGCUAAAUGGAGAGACUCGAAAUCCCUGAAGUCCGUCCCAAAAGCUACUAUACUCAAACUACAUUUAUUAAAAAGUUCUCGGAUUUCAUCUGAAACUGAUAAGGAAAUGAAGAUUCUUAACGGACCUUACAUAUUAAAAUACCAUAAAAGGUCGUACCCAGUGCACAAGGCUCCCGCUUUACGCAGGGUCUGGGAGAGGUGAAUGUCGGCUAGCCUUACCCCUAUUUAUGGAGAGGCUGCUACAUAUUAAAAUACCAUAUAAGUACAUAUUUACAAGCUCAUCUAUAAGUAUGGUGCUGAACAUAUCAACAGAAUCUAUCAGACCAGGAAAGAGAAAUUAGAAAUUUAUAUACGCACACAUUCAAUGCUUGUAAGUUCUUUUCUGUAUAUACUAAUGGAGGAUCAUUGUGCG